rnacentral:lncRNA from 1 species
CCGCCCACUAAUAUGUGGAUAUCGAUUACACCAGAGUAAAAAACUAAAUCCUUCAUAUUUUUCCUACUCUAAUAGUUACACCGGAAUUUUAACUUUCUAAGGAUUCUUCGGAAUGACGAGGAAGACAAACAAGGUUUUAACCUCGGGGAGAUCUUGGCGGAGGUGCGGAUGACGACUGGACAGUUGGCGGAGGAGAUGUGCUACUGCUGCUGCUGGUGGUAGUGGUGAUGGGCGGUAGACGGGCGAGUUUGGCCGACAGCUGGCGCCGUUCUCUGGCGGCGGCCUGUCGGUGGUAAACUUCUUUGCGAUGGAAGGCCGGAAAGGUGGGCAGAAGCCAAGAAGAUCUGGCCUUGUCAUCCGUGCUACUGCUGCCGGAUGAGAAGCACAGCGGUGGCAAGUGAACUUGACCCGUUUGGACGUCGCUGGAUUCCUCUUCCGGCUGAUGGAAGUGAUUGUCGCUGCCGGGUAAUUUGGGGAGAACGAAACUGGCACUGGACACUGGCGGACUUUGUCGGUGGUGGAACGACAGGGAUUUCAACCAUUUUGGAGUUUUGGAGAGGAGGACUUCGUCCGGAAGCGACGGCCAUCGCAGACUCUUCUUGCCAUCGCCCGGCCGUCGCUUCUCCGACUGGUUUUGCAUCUCGUCAAUGCAAACAAGCCGGGAGAUGAUGACACCUGGCGUCAGAGACACCAGCCAAAAGGACGACAAUUGCGUCAUCUUGGGUCCGACGGGGUGGUGAUCCAGCCAUCCGAAAAGAACACAAAAACCGGAAGAAACACACAAAAGAAAAAAUUGACUAGAAAAUUUCCACCGAUUAGUCGGAACAAUUUUUCUGGAAGAAAUAAACGGCCAGGUACAGCAAUCACGAACAAUCACGACCGGAAUACAACCGAGGACUGGCACGUCCUACCUGGAAGAAGUGCGGAGAAAACCACGACACACACGUACACACAAGUGAACUGCAGCGCGCCGGAAUGAGUCCCCAUACUCUUCGGUACUUCCGUUCUCUUUCAAAACUUUUGAAAAAGAAAAAGAGAAAAAAAGACACGAUCGAUCGUUCAAUGCACCUACUACCCCAAACAACAGUACUACUGGAAUUGUUACACAACGUCAUACACGUCUGUGCUGGUGGCACACAGGUACACACACUACACACACACACGCUGGUGCUUUUUGUAUUAUAUUCGGUACCAGGUUCUACCAACCGCGUGAGUCCCGCACGCCUUAUUCUCUAUCCCGGUAUCCCCGACGACCCUUUUAGAACGUCUAUAUACCUUUUUUUCUUUCUUUUUCUCUACCCUCCUUUUACAUAGUUACGGGAGUCAUAUUUAUUGUAUUAUUAUAACGUGAUGGGGUUCGGUUCCCCAUUGUUCGUUCCAGGGUAUAUAACCACAUCGUCGGCGGGUUCGGAAGAAAGUUAGACCCGACGUCACGAUUCCGACUUCAGACUGUCAACUGUUUGAUGACAGGUAUUAUUGUACCUUGAUCUAAAUAACCUAAUCGUGCCGUAUAUAGACGUACUAUGUAUUAUAUUCCUGUAUUUCGGAAUAUCCAGUUUGACUGGAAUUAUUUGUUUGAAAUCAAACGCAAUUGGAAAUAAUUCGGGAAAUUAUCAUUAAUGCUUUUUUGUGUAUGUUUUUUUGUUGUUUGUGUUGUUAAAAAUGAGACCAAGAAAUGAAAGAAAAAAAAAUGAAAGUCAUUUAUUCUUUGAGACAGGUCUGUUGAUGGAUUGGAUUGGCUAUAUAACUUAUUAUGCGUGACGAUCGAUAAGCCAUAGAUGUAUGAAUGGUGGCAGCAGCACUAACCGUUUUCGAAACGGCUGAAAAUCUUUCUGCAUGAAAAGGAUAGAUAAAUCAAAUAGUAGCCGGGAGUUCUCACUUCUGCUGAACAAGGUUU